rnacentral:rRNA from 1 species
UUGUCUCAAAGAUUAAGCCAUGCAUGUCUCAGUACAAGCCGAAUUAAGGUGAAACCGCGAAAGGCUCAUUAAAUCAGUUAUGGUUCCUUAGAUCGUACCCACAUUUACUUGGAUAACUGUGGUAAUUCUAGAGCUAAUACAUGCAAACAGAGCUCCAACCGGAAACGGAAGGAGCGCUUUUAUUAGAUCAAAACCAAUCGGUGUCGGUUUCCGUCAUCGUACAACUUGGUGACUCUGAAUAACUUUAAGCUGAUCGCACGGUCUCGCACCGGCGACGCAUCUUUCAAAUGUCUGCCUUAUCAACUGUCGAUGGUAGGUUCUGCGCCUACCAUGGUUGUAACGGGUAACGGGGAAUCAGGGUUCGAUUCCGGAGAGGGAGCCUGAGAAACGGCUACCACAUCCAAGGAAGGCAGCAGGCGCGCAAAUUACCCACUCCCGGCACGGGGAGGUAGUGACGAAAAAUAACGAUACGGGACUCAUCCGAGGCCCCGUAAUCGGAAUGAGUACACUCUAAACCCUUUAACGAGGAUCAAUUGGAGGG